rnacentral:sRNA from 1 species
UGGAAGAAACUAUCAGACACCUGAAGAAAUGUAAAGAGGCAACAGAGAAUAAGCUGAAAGAAGCCAGUGUGGAAUCAGAACAGAUAACAGCUAAUCUGGAAGAAGCUCAUCGCUGGUUUAAGCACAGGUUUGAUGGUCUACAACUUGAGCUGACAAAAAACCGGUUGCAGAGGCCUUCUGGGGAAGACAGGUGGCAGGAAAAGAACAGGUUAACUGCUAGUUGACCUCAUUGUUCUGAAGUUCUGGCCCCAUAUGAAGGCUCUAUUUCAAGUUUGAAAUUCCCAGGGAAGGAGGGAGGAAACUCCUGAUUGGCCCAGGUUGGUUCAGGAGCAGACUCCCUCCUCUAUCAACUGUGAUCAUGCAGGAGCAGCAGAAUCUCAGUGCAUAAAACAGGGAGACUUAUUUUCUCCACGGCUAUUUAGUAGACACUGGAGCCACAGUCCAGUGAGCUAAUUUAAGAGAGAAACUUGGAGCACAGAAUGCUCAGUUCCACAGAAUUCCAACACACAAGUCUAACUUAUUACUGUAUCUCAGUUACCUCUACCAUUACCUAUAAAUGGCAUGAAGUAAAAAAUAAGCAUGUGAAACAACCUCAAUUAUAAAAUGUACUUAAAUUAUA